rnacentral:rRNA from 1 species
UACGAAGGGGCUAGCGUUGUUCGGAAUCACUGGGCGUAAGGGGCGCGUAGGCGGCCGAUCAAGUCGGGGUGAAAGCCUGUGGCUCAACCACAGAAUUGCCUUCGAUACUGUUUGGCUUGAGACCGGAAGAGGUUAGUGGAACUGCGAGUGUAGAGGUGAAAUUCGUAGAUAUUCGCAAGAACACCAGUGGCGAAGGCGGCUGACUGGUCCGGUUCUGACGCUGAGACGCGAAAGCGUGGGGAGCGAACAGG